rnacentral:rRNA from 1 species
GGCGGACGGGUGAGUAAUGCCUAGGAAUCUGCCUGAUAGUGGGGGACAACGUUUCGAAAGGAACGCUAAUACCGCAUACGUCCUACGGGAGAAAGCAGGGGACCUUCGGGCCUUGCGCUAUCAGAUGAGCCUAGGUCGGAUUAGCUAGUUGGUGAGGUAACGGCUCACCAAGGCGACGAUCCGUAACUGGUCUGAGAGGAUGAUCAGUCACACUGGAACUGAGACACGGUCCAGACUCCUACGGGAGGCAGCAGUGGGGAAUAUUGGACAAUGGGCGAAAGCCUGAUCCAGCCAUGCCGCGUGUGUGAAGAAGGUCUUCGGAUUGUAAAGCACUUUAAGUUGGGAGGAAGGGCAUUAACCUAAUACGUUAGUGUUUUGACGUUACCGACAGAAUAAGCACCGGCUAACUUCGUGCCAGCAGCCGCGGUAAUACGAAGGGUGCAAGCGUUAAUCGGAAUUACUGGGCGUAAAGCGCGCGUAGGUGGUUUGUUAAGUUGAAUGUGAAAGCCCCGGGCUCAACCUGGGAACUGCAUCCAAAACUGGCAAGCUAGAGUAUGGCAGAGGGUGGUGGAAUUUCCUGUGUAGCGGUGAAAUGCGUAGAUAUAGGAAGGAACACCAGUGGCGAAGGCGACCACCUGUGAUAAUGAUGACAGAAAGGUGGGGGAGCAAAGGGAGCAAACAAGAUUGGUUAUCCUGGUAGUACACGCCGUAAACUAGCCG